CCCUUAGAUGUUCUGGGCUGCACACGUGCUACACUGGCAGGUUCAGCGAGCUUCAUGUCCUGAUCUGAAAGGAAUGGGAAAUCUUUUCAAAACCUGCCGUGCUUGGGAUAGAUGUUUGCAAUUAUUCAUCUUCAACGAGGAUUGCCUUGUAAGCGCACGUCAUCAGCGUGCAUUGAAUACGACCCUGUAUUCUGUACACACCGCCCGUCGCUCCUACCGAUUGAAGUUUUCGGUGAGUUGACAGGAGGAUUUUUUUGAAACUGACUCGCCAGUGGAUUUUAGAUCCAAAUGCCAACGAAUCGAUGGCUUUAGAGGAAGGAGAAGUCGUAACA
rnacentral:rRNA from 1 species